rnacentral:tmRNA from 1 species
CGGUUAAUGUUGACACCUGAGGCAUUAACAAGUUACUAGUAGGUUAGCCGCCUUGUGUUAGGCUUGCUGGCUGGCGCGACAUCGCGGCGAAUUUUAAAUAAGUCAGCUAUAGGUGUAGAGCUGCAUGUAGCAGGGGAGAUGGACAGGAGUUCGAUUCUCCUCACCUCCACUU